UCCAAGAAACUAACCUUCCUUGGGUCACUCUUCUUCCCAUGGCUUUACUGUGGCGAUAAAAGUCACAGGAAUGGACUCCUGGAUGCAUCACUCAAGUCAAAGCCUGGAAACCUGAGAGAGAGAGCAACCCCAGACAGCCCAGAGGAAUGUCCUGGAUAUCCAUGUGAAGAAAUAGGAGAUCUUAAGCUGAAAAUCAUAAAAGAUAAGUAAAUGAGUAAGGGCUAUUCAUCCUACUCAGUCCCACUCCUACCUUAUCAGAUACUUUCAGUUAUUUCUACUUUUCCUCUCGAGAUUCGCUGUGAGAUACUAGAACUUCUUUUUGAUGCAUACUUGUGGGAAGAUUUUGAUUAUCCAUGAGAUUACAGUUGUAACUUCAUAGACUCCCAAAGGGAAAUUCUUGAAAGAUCACUCUGGCUGACAGAUAGGAGGAUGGGCUGGGAGGCAAGAAACUGCAGACUGGGACCAAACAGGAGGAUAACAGCAAUGAGCAGAGAUAAGGUCUCACUACGUUGCCCAGGCUGGCCUCAAACUCCUGGGCUCAAACAAUCCUCCUGCCUCAGCCUCCCAAAGUGCUGGGAUUACAAGUGUGAGUGACCAUGCCUGGCCAACCCACAGCUUUCAAAGCGUGCUGAUUUCAACUGCUACUCUGAUGCAGAAUAUCAUACUGACUGGACCUGGCGAGCAGGAAAAGUUGCAAACACCCUAGAUGCCUUAGUAAGAUAC
rnacentral:lncRNA from 10 species